rnacentral:rRNA from 1 species
AGAGUUUGAUCCUGGCUCAGGACGAACGCUGGCGGCGUGCCUAACACAUGCAAGUCGAACGGGGUUAAGUGCUUCGGUAUUUAACUUAGUGGCGAACGGGUGAGUAACGCGUGAGGAACCUGCCUUUCAGUGGGGGACAACAGUUGGAAACGACUGCUAAUACCGCAUGAUACUUUUUAGAGGCAUCUCUGAAAAGUCAAAGCUUUAUGUGCUGAAAGAUGGUCUCGCGUCUGAUUAGCUUGUUGGUGAGGUAACGGCUCACCAAGGCGACGAUCAGUAGCCGGUCUGAGAGGAUGAACGGCCACAUUGGGACUGAGAUACGGCCCAGACCCCUACGGGAGGCAGCAGUGGGGAAUAUUGGGCAAUGGGGGAAACCCUGACCCAGCAACGCCGCGUGAAGGAAGAAGGCCUUCGGGUUGUAAACUUCUUUUACCAGGGACGAAGAACGUGACGGUACCUGGAGAAAAAGCAACGGCUAACUACGUGCCAGCAGCCGCGGUAAUACGUAGGUUGCAAGCGUUGUCCGGAUUUACUGGGUGUAAAGGGCGUGUAGGCGGAGGUGCAAGUUGGGAGUGAAAUCCCGGGGCUCAACCCCGGAACUGCUUUCAAAACUGUUUUUCUUGAGUAGUGCAGAGGUAGGCGGAAUUCCCGGUGUAGCGGUGGAAUGCGUAGAUAUCGGGAGGAACACCAGUGGCGAAGGCGGCCUACUGGGCACCAACUGACGCUGAGGCUCGAAAGUGUGGGUAGCAAACAGGAUUAGAUACCCUGGUAGUCCACACUGUAAACGAUGAUUACUAGGUGUUGGGGGAUUGACCCCCUCAGUGCCGCAGUUAACACAAUAAGUAAUCCACCUGGGGAGUACGACCGCAAGGUUGAAACUCAAAGGAAUUGACGGGGGCCCGCACAAGCAGUGGAGUAUGUGGUUUAAUUCGACGCAACGCGAAGAACCUUACCAAGUCUUGACAUCCUGCGACGAUGCUAGAAAUAGUAUUUUCCUUCGGGACGCAGAGACAGGUGGUGCAUGGUUGUCGUCAGCUCGUGUCGUGAGAUGUUGGGUUAAGUCCCGCAACGAGCGCAACCCCUAUGGUCAGUUACUACGCAAGAGGACUCUGGCCAGACUGCCGUUGACAAAACGGAGGAAGGUGGGGAUGACGUCAAAUCAUCAUGCCCUUUAUGACUUGGGCUACACACGUACUACAAUGGCGUUUAACAAAGAGAAGCGAAGUCGCGAGGCAGAGCAAAACUCAGAAACAACGUCCCAGUUCGGACUGCAGGCUGCAACUCGCCUGCACGAAGUCGGAAUUGCUAGUAAUCGCAGAUCAGCAUGCUGCGGUGAAUACGUUCCCGGGCCUUGCACUCACCGCCCGUCA